rnacentral:rRNA from 1 species
UACACACGGAUAACAUACCGAAAGGUAUGCUAAUACGGGAUAAUAUAUUUGAGAGGCAUCUCUUAAAUAUCAAAGGUGAGCCAGUACAGGAUGGACCCGCGUCUGAUUAGCUAGUUGGUAAGGUAACGGCUUACCAAGGCGACGAUCAGUAGCCGACCUGAGAGGGUGAUCGGCCACAUUGGAACUGAGACACGGUCCAAACUCCUACGGGAGGCAGCAGUGGGGAAUAUUGCACAAUGGGCGAAAGCCUGAUGCAGCAACGCCGCGUGAGUGAUGAAGGCCUUCGGUUCGUAAAACUCUGUCCUCAAGGAAGAUAAUGACGGUACUUGAGGAGGAAGCCCCGGCUAACUACGUGCCAGCAGCCGCGGUAAUACGUAGGGGGCUAGCGUUAUCCGGAUUUACUGGGCGUAAAGGGUGCGUAGGCGGUCUUUCAAGUCAGGAGUGAAAGGCUACGGCUCAACCGUAGUAAGCUCUUGAAACUGGGAGACUUGAGUGCAGGAGAGGAGAGUGGAAUUCCUAGUGUAGCGGUGAAAUGCGUAGAUAUUAGGAGGAACACCAGUUGCGAAGGCGGCUCUCUGGACUGUAACUGACGCUGAGGCACGAAAGCGUGGGGAGCAAACAGGAUUAGAUACCCUGGUAGUCCACGCUGUAAACGAUGAGUACUAGGUGUCGGGGGUUACCCCCCUCGGUGCCGCAG